rnacentral:rRNA from 1 species
ACUCCUACGGGAGGCAGCAGUGGGGAAUAUUGCACAAUGGGGGAAACCCUGAUGCAGCGACGCCGCGUGCGGGAUGAAGGCCUUCGGGUUGUAAACCGCUUUCAGCAGGGACGAAGCGAGAGUGACGGUACCUGCAGAAGAAGCGCCGGCUAACUACGUGCCAGCAGCCGCGGUAAUACGUAGGGCGCAAGCGUUGUCCGGAAUUAUUGGGCGUAAAGAGCUCGUAGGCGGCCUGUUGCGUCCGCUGUGAAAUCCCAGGGCUUAACCCUGGGCGUGCAGUGGAUACGGGCAGGCUGGAGGCAGGCAGGGGAGAACGGAAUUCCCGGUGUAGCGGUGAAAUGCGCAGAUAUCGGGAGGAACACCGGUGGCGAAGGCGGUUCUCUGGGCCUGUUCUGACGCUGAGGAGCGAAAGCGCGGGGAGCAAACAGGAUUAGAUACCCUGGUAGUCCACGCCGUAAACGUUGGGCGCUAGGUGUGGGUCCCUUCCACAGGGUCUGUGCCGCAGCUAACGCAUUAAGCGCCCCGCCUGGGGAGUACGGCCGCAAGGCUAAAACUCAAAGAAAUUGACGGGGGCCCGCACAAGCGGCGGAGCAUGUUGCUUAAUUCGACGCAACGCGAAGAACCUUACCAAGGUUUGACAUGGACGGAAAUCCUCCAGAGAUGGGGGGUCCUUCGGGGCCGUUCACAGGUGGUGCAUGGCUGUCGUCAGCUCGUGUCGUGAGAUGUUGGGUUAAGUCCCGCAACGAGCGCAACCCUCGUCCAAUGUUGCCAGCGGGUAAUGCCGGGGACUCAUUGGAGACUGCCGGGGUCAACUCGGA